rnacentral:rRNA from 1 species
AACAUGGAGAGUUUGAUCCUGGCUCAGGAUGAACGCUGGCGGUCUGCUUAACACAUGCAAGUCGAACGAUGUCUU